rnacentral:misc_RNA from 1 species
GCAGAAUUUCGUAUUAAGGCAACAACUCUCAACUAAUUAACAGGCCUUUGCAAGUAAAAGCUUUGGUGUUUUCAGAUACAUAAAAUUGAAUAUAGAGAGCAGAUUCUAGGACAGUUAAUCCAAGGUUCCAAGACAUUGAUCUCAAUUCAAUGUACUCGAUAUGUGAAGAUCUAUAGAAAGGAAAUAACUCUUUCAAACCAAGAAAAACUUCA